GACGAACGCUGGCGGCGUGCCUAAUACAUGCAAGUCGAACGCACUCUCGUUUAGAUUGAAGGAGCUUGCUCCUGAUUGAUAAACAUUUGAGUGAGUGGCGGACGGGUGAGUAACACGUGGGUAACCUGCCCUAAAGUGGGGGAUAACAUUUGGAAACAGAUGCUAAUACCGCAUAAAACCUAACACCGCAUGGUGUAGGGUUGAAAGAUGGUUUCGGCUAUCACUUUAGGAUGGACCCGCGGUGCAUUAGUUAGUUGGUGAGGUAAAGGCUCACCAAGACCGUGAUGCAUAGCCGACCUGAGAGGGUAAUCGGCCACACUGGGACUGAGACACGGCCCAGACUCCUACGGGAGGCAGCAGUAGGGAAUCUUCCACAAUGGACGAAAGUCUGAUGGAGCAACGCCGCGUGAGUGAAGAAGGUUUUCGGAUCGUAAAACUCUGUUGUUGGAGAAGAAUGUAUCUGAUUGUAACUGAUCAGGUAGUGACGGUAUCCAACCAG
rnacentral:rRNA from 1 species